rnacentral:lncRNA from 13 species
AUGGGUGAUACAUGGGUCACAUGGUAAUUUGCAAUGUACAAGUCAAUUUCACAUCAUUAACUCAUAUGGCUUUCACUGUGACCUAAACAGGAAACGUACUGCUCUCUGUGCUUUGCUGCCGAGUGACAGAUGCCCACAGAGCUUAGGAGCGAAGAGUGUGCCCAAACUUGAAAACGUUGAUUGUCACAACCCAGUCUCCAAUUCCAAGCUUCCAAAUGAGUUGACAAGAAAAAGUGGCACUCUUUUCUCCCCAAGGAGACUUUAUGAAAUAGUGGUGUUGCCAUAAAGAGGCCUCCAAGUCUCUGAAGAAACAGAUCGGACCAGGGGUUCACCUGUAGAUGUCUAGUCUCCAUGGGGAAAAGCAAGUCAUCACCAGCGUCUGACUAUCUGCACCCCAGGCUGAGAGCUGGUGCAAAUCCUCUACAAUACCCAAUGCCAUCAUUAUCUCUGAAAUAGACUGUGAAGUCAGCACCCAUCCCGCCCCACACUCACCUCCUUCCUCCACUUACAAAUAUCUCCAACUGCUUUGUCUCAACUCAUGAACUUAAGAGGAAAGUUAGAUUUUAAAAAGAAGCAUCCACAAAUCUGAAGUCUUACAUCUGCUGUUGAGCUCCACUGAGCAUGAAUUACCUUCUCCAUUUCUGCAGCCCUGUGCUUCAGCUUUUCCUAUGACUCCCAUUAGAAUCCAUCCUAAAGAUAUUAUUUGACUGUCUGCUCAUCUACCUGGCCCUACAUGGAGCUUCUGGAGAGAAAGAUCCAAGGCGGGUCCCUGUUUGUAUCUCACCCAUUCAACCCUCACCUACACUGAAAACAUGACACUUGUCCCUUCCUGCAGUAUGUGUUCGGAGUUUGCUUACUGUAUCUGACAGGUGUGGUGCACCAAAUUCUCAACACACGCUGCCAGAACUAACACCCCCUGGAUCCCUAGGGGAUCCGUUAUAAUUGCAUUUGCACGAAGCAGCAGCCAGGAGACAUCAUGGCGACUUCAGCUCCCAGUUGAGUAGUCACUGACUUACUUAGCUCCCAAUUGAAUAGUAAACCAAAUACAAC